rnacentral:rRNA from 1 species
UACGUAGGGGGCAAGCGUUGUCCGGAAUCAUUGGGCGUAAAGAGCGUGUAGGCGGCCCGAUAAGUCCGCCGUGAAAGUCCAGGGCUCAACCCUGGAAUGCCGGUGGAAACUGUCGGGCUGGAGUCCGGAAGAGGCGAGUGGAAUUCCAGGUGUAGCGGUGAAAUGCGUAGAUAUCUGGAGGAACACCGGUGGCGAAGGCGACGUCCUGGACCGGCAUUGACGCUGAGGCGCGAAAGCCAGGGGAGCAAACGGG